GGUCCGGGCGAGGCGGGCGUGGCUCCUCCCUGCUCCGCAGACCGUUCCGAGCCCUUAGCCUCUCGCUGGACAGAGGCCGUUCUAGAAAACACUCCGGAACUCAGUGUUUUCCAGGUUUCCGCCCAGUACAAUUAUAAAAGGCAGCUCCCCGGGUGCACGUCUGCGUGUCUGACUAGAAGGCCGAGGCCCGGGAAUCUCGGUGGUUCUGGUCCAGGCCCCGGGCCGCCAGGCCCCACCCGCCACGUCUGGGGAACCCGUGAACCCCAGCCAUUGGGGGGAGGUGCGGGCGGGCUCCUCCCACGGAUAAAGUCCCUGAGGCCCCACGAAACCGGCCUGCCGGGACUCGGACCCCAAUUGUGGGCCCCUGGUACGAAAGGGUUCUCACUGAGGGCCUGGAAGGAAGCAGGGGACUUGUGGGCUUUGGAGGGUUCUGGGGCGCUUGUUGCCAAAAGGUGGUAUUGGAAGUGUGACAGACUUCAGCCCAUCCGGGCACGGGAGGAGGGGACCCCCAGAGUCUGCCUGUGGUGUGCGGCCUGGUGCCUCUGCCAGCUGGAGUCUGUGUCUGCUGCGUCCGCGGAGCUGUUGGUUCUUGAGAGUGGCUUGCUGGCAGGAUGCCAGGAUCUAAAACAAUUUCUGUCAUUUUACUGACACUUGUUUUUCUUUGGGUCAGUCUGUGGUCUCGUCUCUGUGCGGCGGCUUCUCUGUGUCUGUACCAGCCUGGCACACACCAUGCUACUUCCCUGCGGUGAACACUGAAGGGUCCCGGGUUCCCGGGUAGGACUGACCCUCAGGAGCUUGGGGAGCCCACACCCAUUCAGGUGGUAAGCCCAACAGCAGAACUGCAGGGGUAUUUCCAGGGACAGCACACGUGCCAGCUGGACUCUGUCUUUCUCCUGAGGCCCCUCUUCGUCCUUCCCGUCUCACAGUGGCCAGACCCCAAGCCUGAAACCUUCUAAUAGUUUCCCAGCCUUUUUUUUUUUUUUAAUCCUCACCUGAGGAUACUAUCCCAUUGAUUUCUAGAGACAGUAGAAGGGUUAGAGGGAGAGAAACAUGGAUUGGUUGCCUCCCAAAUGAGCCCCCGAUAGGGUGGGGGAACCUGCAGCCGAGGUACGUGCCCUUGACGGAAAUCAAAACUGAGACCCUUUGGUCUGCAGGCCGGCGCUCUAACCACUGAGCAAAUCCGGCCAGGGCCAUUUCCCAGUUUGUCUGGCCCUUGUAUGCAGGCUUUCACAAUGGAAACAAUUUUGCCUCGUUUAAGUACAGUCCUGCUCUAAGUGCUGUCUGUGGUCUCACCAUGAGAAUUCUUAUUUGGAGACUUCAUCUGAGGGAUUGCAGUCAUGUGUCACCUAACAACAGAGAUACAUUGAGAAGCGUGUCAUUACGUGAUGUUGUGCGAACAUACAGGGUGCGCUUACACCUGGAUGGUGCAGCCCACUGCUCACCUGGGCUGCAUGGCACAGCCUGUUACUGUGCUGGGUACUGAGGCCAUUGGAACAGUGGUGUGUGUGCACCUGACGAGAGAGGUAUGAAAAGGUGCAGUGAAAACAGUCUCAGAGGAAAAGCACCCUGCGCACGCUCUCACCAGGAGUGGAGCUGCAGGACUGGACGUUGCUCUGGGUGUGGUGGGGUGAGUAGUGAGUGAAGGUGAGGGCCAAGGACAUGACUGGACACGGCUGUGGACUUUAUACCCUGGACACCAAGGCUACACCAGCUUGCAUUAUUUUUUUUCUUCAGUGAUACAUUAACCUUAGUUUAUAACAUUUUCACUUUAUAAAC